rnacentral:rRNA from 1 species
AUUGAACGCUGGCGGCAUGCCUUACACAUGCAAGUCGAACGGUAACGGGCCUUCGGGUGCCGACGAGUGGAGAACGGGUGAGUAAUACAUCGGAACGUGCCCGAUCGUGGGGGAUAACGAGGCGAAAGCUUUGCUAAUACCGCAUACGAUCUACGGAUGAAAGCCGGGGACCGCAAGGCCUUGCGCGGACGGAGCGGCCGAUGGCAGAUUAGGUAGUUGGUGGGAUAAAAGCUUACCAAGCCGACGAUCUGUAGCUGGUCUGAGAGGAUGAUCAGCCACACUGGGACUGAGACACGGCCCAGACUCCUACGGGAGGCAGCAGUGGGGAAUUUUGGACAAUGGGCGCAAGCCUGAUCCAGCCAUGCCGCGUGCAGGAUGAAGGCCUUCGGGUUGUAAACUGCUUUUGUACGGAACGAAAAGCCUUCUUUUAAUACAGGAGGGUCAUGACGGUACCGUAAGAAUAAGCACCGGCUAACUACGUG